GAUGAACGCUGGCGGCGUGCCUAAUACAUGCAAGUCGAGCGAACGGACGAGAAGCUUGCUUCUCUGAUGUUAGCGGCGGACGGGUGAGUAACACGUGGAUAACCUACCUAUAAGACUGGGAUAACUUCGGGAAACCGUAGCUAAUACCGGAUAAUAUUUUGAACCGCAUGGUUCAAAAGUGAAAGACGGUCUUGCUGUCACUUAUAGAUGGAUCCGCGCUGCAUUAGCUAGUUGGUAAGGUAACGGCUUGCCAAGGCAACGAUGCAUAGCCGACCUGAGAGGGUGAUCGGCCACACUGGGACUGAGACACGGUCCAGACUCCUACGGGAGGCAGCAGUAGGGAAUCUUCCGCAAUGGGCGAAAGCCUGACGGAGCAACGCCGCGUGAGUGAUGAAGGUCUUCGGAUCGUAAAACUCUGUUAUUAGGGAAGAACAUAUGUGUAAGUAACUGUGCACAUCUUGACGGUACCUAAUCAGAAAGCCACGGCUAACUACGUG
rnacentral:rRNA from 1 species